GGGCGUUUAGCGCAGUGGUAGCGCGUAUGCUUUGCAAACUAGCGCCACGGCACUAGAAGAUGUAUAAGGUCCAGGGUUCAAUCCCCUGAACGUCCA
rnacentral:tRNA from 1 species